CCUACGGGGGGCUGCAGUGGGGAAUAUUGCACAAUGGGGGAAACCCUGAUGCAGCGACGCCGCGUGAGUGAAGAAGUAUUUCGGUAUGUAAAGCUCUAUCAGCAGGGAAGAAGAAAGACGGUACCUGACUAAGAAGCCCCGGCUAACUACGUGCCAGCAGCCGCGGUAAUACGUAGGGGGCAAGCGUUAUCCGGAUUUACUGGGUGUAAAGGGAGCGUAGGGGGUUGUGCAAGUCUGAAGUGAAAGCCCAGGUAUCAACCCGGGGACUGCUUUGGAAACUGUGGAGCUAGAGUGCUGGAGAGGUAGGGGAAUUUCGGGGUGUAGCGGUGAAAUGCGUAGAUAUUAGGAGGAACACAAGGGGCGAAGGCGGCUUACUGGACAGGAACUGACGCGGAGGCUCGAAAGCGUGGGGAUCAAACAGGAUUAGAUACCCGAGUAGUC
rnacentral:rRNA from 1 species